rnacentral:tRNA from 1 species
GGGCUUGUAGCUCAGGUGGUUAGAGCGCACCCCUGAUAAGGGUGAGGUCGGUGGUUCAAGUCCACUCAGGCCUA